UAAUCCAAUUGAUAGAUUAUAAGAAAUCUUAAAAACCCUCAUUGGAUCUAAAAUUCUACUUUCUGAAAUCCCGACCUACUUAAACCUCAAUAACCCUUGAUUCAACCAUUAUAUCAAACUAAAAUUCUCAAUACAUAUUAAGCACAACUAUAACCAUUUAUCCACAAACUUUCACCUAUAGAUCUAUUACAAAAUUCUUGAAAUUUUCCAAAUGUUAACAUUCUUUUAUUUUACAAAAACCUGAGUCAUCUAAAAAAAUCUUCACUUUAUAAAGCUCUUAUAAAGUUAUUACUAAUCCAAAUCA
rnacentral:lncRNA from 1 species